UGAGAAUGUGGAGUCUUUGGUCGUGUGUACAGGGUAGGGCAUUAGGUUGAGAAUGUGGAGUCUUUGGUCGUGUGUACAGGGUAGGGCAUUAGGUUGAGAAUGUGGAGUCUUUGGUCGUGUGUACAGGGUAGGGCAAUAGGUUGAGAAUGUGGAGUCUUUGGUUGUGUGUGCUUUGUAUUCUGCUUUGUGAGAGACAGUGUCGUUAGAGAAAUUGAGGAUGUUGCAAGUUUUGGGUUCUGUGCAUAAUGACUAUUCUGUGAUAAACGAAUAAAUUGUUGAAGCUAUAAA